UGCUAGAUGUCAGCCUCAAACAGGAGUACUUGAUGGUAUUUUACGUAUCAAAUGUUUCCAUUUUUAGUUUCUUUGCGUUAAUCUCUCACUAGGGUUUUUUUUUUUUUCUGCCAGUUUUAACCAUGUCUGUCAGAGGGGCAAGGAUUGCUGAUAAGUGGCCUAAAAGUUAGGAGAAAACUGACUACUGGGUAAUGAGAUUCAAAUACACCACAACUGAAGUUUGAAAUAGGGGUCAUUUGUUAUCGUGUUUCAUUUGGUCUGCAGUGACAAUCAUUUUGGAACCUCUUGUUUUUGUUAGAUAUUGGCAACGCUUUUCCUCUGGCCUCCAAGUCUCAGAGCUGGCCAUGAUUCUUCACAGAAGUUAAAAUGACGAGUUAAAGAGCUGAUCUAAUAAACAGUAAAUCAAUGGAAAGUCUGCCGCUGCAAUUUUGGGAACUGGAUUGGACAGGACAGCACGCCACUCUGAGUGUGAUAGAUGUGUUUCACAGUCAAGGGAAGGUCUGUUGGAUUAACCUAGGCAGAAUCCUACAGAGAGCUCCUGGAUUCAGGUGAACCUACAGUUUCUGCCUUUCAUUUUCCACCUUUCUACCUGAAGAGUGAAACAGCCUUGUGUCCCUGACCUUGCAGUGUGUUCCAGAAAGCCACUAGAAGGAGGCAGCCUCUACCUUGCAGAACAGUCAUUGCAAUUGUGUCCUAGUGUGGUAAAGGUACUUCUGCCUGUUCCACUGCCUAACACUCUGUUAGUCUUCAGAGUGCAAAAUUACAUGGUAUUAAUUAGUAUCAUUUGCAUAUUCAAAGUAUGUCACAGAUAUUAAGAAAUUAGUAUCCCUCUUACUAUUAACAUCACAGGUUCUAUCUCAGCCUGCUAGCAUCUGGGGAAAACUGAGGCAUGGAGAAAUUAAAACGUUUCAAAAGAUCUUCUGCUUUCUGGAACAUGUGAGGCAUUUGGUUUCAAAGACUUGGCAUGUUUGAAGUUUUAAGCUGAAAUUAUAUUCAAGGCAUGUGAAUACUCAGCCCUUUUAAAGGCAUGGCUACUUAGGCACAAAAAAAUAUUAGACAUUACUUCAAAACACAAGUGACAUCACCCGUCCUGCCCCUUCCCACCCAGCGUGGGCUCAUGUGCCCCAUUAGUGGAAGAGAGAAAACCGGAAUUCAAGAUUUCACAACUCUUACACCUAUUCAGCCAUAAAACCUAUUUAAAGGAGUCGUUAUCUAGGAAUGAUACUUUCAGUUCCAUUCCUGAUCAUGCUGUAGCCAUCUGCCAAAGCAGUGACAACCACCAAGAUCACAAUAAGACUUCUAAAAAGAGAACAGCAUCUCUAUCUAGUGGUCAGUACGUGGUCUUACCAGCCCGAGUUGAGUGGCUGGUGACAGCUGGAGGAACC